GCCGGUUUAGUUCAGUGGUAGAACGCGGGCCUCCAAAACCCGAUUCGACUGUUCGAUUCAGUCAGCCGGUGCCA
rnacentral:tRNA from 1 species